GCAUAUCAAUAAGCGGAGGAAAAGAAACCAACAGGGAUUGCCUCAGUAACGGCGAGUGAAGCGGCAAAAGCUCAAAUUUGAAAUCCCCCCGGGGAGUUGUAAUUUGAAGAUUGCGUCUUGGAGGCGACCGUGUCUAUGUUCCUUGGAACAGGACGUCACAGAGGGUGAGAAUCCCGUGCGGCACGGCCCCCGGCUCCUUAUAAGGCGCUCUCGACGAGUCGAGUUGUUUGGGAAUGCAGCUCAAAGUGGGUGGUAAAUUCCAUCUAAAGCUAAAUACAGGCGAGAGACCGAUAGCGAACAAGUACAGUGAUGGAAAGAUGAAAAGCACUUUGAAAAGAGAGUGAAACAGCACGUGAAAUUGUUGAAAGGGAAGGGCAUGCCGUCAGAUUGUCAGUGUGGGUAAGAAGCGGGGUACAAAGACUGUGGAACGUGGCCCUCGGGUGUUAUAGCCGCAGUUCAUGCCCCGUCUCUUUCCGAGGCCUGCUUUGAGGACACCGACGUAAUGACGGUACGCCGCCCGUCUUGAAACACGGACC
rnacentral:rRNA from 2 species